GAUUCCCCUAGUAACUGCGAGUGAAGCGGGACAAGCUCAAAUUUAAAAUCUGGCGCGCUUCUGGCCGUCCGAGUUGUAAUCUGGAGAAGUGUUUUCCGUGUUGGACCGUAUACAAGUCUCUUGGAACAGAGCGUCAUAGAGGGUGAGAAUCCCGUCUUUGAUACGGACUGCCAAUGCUUUGUGAUACGCUCUCAAAGAGUCGAGUUGUUUGGGAAUGCAGCUCAAAAUGGGUGGUAAAUUCCAUCUAAAGCUAAAUACAGGCGAGAGACCGAUAGCGAACAAGUACCGUGAGGGAAAGAUGAAAAGCACUUUGGAAAGAGAGUUAAACAGUACGUGAAAUUGUUGAAAGGGAAACACUUGAAGUCAGACGCGUUGAUUAGGACUCAACCUUGCCUCGUUGCUUGGUGUACUUCCUGGUUGACGGGCCAACAUCAAUUUUGGUCGGUGGAUAAAGGUGAGGGGAAUGUGGCACCUCCGGGUGUGUUAUAGCCCCUYGUCAUAUACACYGGCUGGGAUUGAGGAUCGCAGCAUGCCUUUAUGGCCGGGGACUUGUCCCACGUAACAUGCUUAGGAUGUUGGCAUAAUGGCUUUAAAUGACCCGUCUUGAAACACGGACCAAGGAGUCUAACAUGCACGCAAGUGUUAGGGUGGAAAACCCUUUCGCGAAAUGAAAGUGAAAGUUGGGACCUCUGUCGUGGAGGGCACCGACGCCCGGCCUUGAUCUUCUGUGACGGCGCCGCGGUAGAGCGUGUAUGUUGGGACCCGAAAGAUGGUGAACUAUGCCUGAAUAGGGCGAAGCCAGAGGAAACUCUGGUGGAGGCUCGUAGCGAUUCUGACGUGCAAAUCGAUCGUCAAAUUUGGGUAUAGGGGCGAAA
rnacentral:rRNA from 1 species